CAUGCUCUAGCAAUACCCUUAUCUCUUUUAAGGUUAGUGUUUUAUGUUUUUGUGCUUAUGUUAUGUUUAGGUAUGCUUGUGGAACAUUCGGGGAUGAAUGUUCUUAAGGGGGGAAGAAUGUAACACCCGGCUAAGAUCCGACAUCGGAAUUCCAACCUUCCGGCGGAAUCUCCGUUGGAAUCCAGAAUCUCGAGGUCGGAAUCCCUUAGAAGGGUGAAAAUAAA
rnacentral:lncRNA from 1 species